rnacentral:rRNA from 1 species
AAUGAACGUUAGCGGCGCGCCUGAUGCAUGCAAGUCGAACGCCUAAGUCAUCCGCAAGGAAGGCAAGGGAGUGGCGAACGGCUGAGUAACACGUAAGUAACCUACCUUUAAGUGGGGAAUAACUUGCCGAAAGGCAGGCUAAUUCCGCAUAUGCUGAUAAGCGAAUGUUUUUCAGUAAAGCCUUCGGGCGCUUGGAGAAGGGCUUGCGUCUGAUUAGCUAGUUGGUGGGGUAAUGGCCUACCAAGGCGAUGAUCAGUAGCUGGUCUAAGAGGACGACCAGCCAGACAGGGACUGAGACACGGCCCUGACACCUACGGGUGGCAG